GGUUGUAGCUGGCCUUCUCGGAGGCAUCGUGCACGCCCUGCCCGUCCCAUAUCAUACCUGUGAACUUUUUGGUAGGCGGGUUUGUGUCGGCCUCGAAAGGGGUCGACCGGCCCUCCGGCCGUCUUUAUAUACACACCAUACGAGUCUUUAGAAUGUUUGUGCGUCUCGACGCAUCUUAUAUAUAACUUUCAGCGACGGAUCUCUUGGCUCUCGCAUCGAUGAAGAACGCAGCGAAACGCGAUAAGUAAUGUGAAUUGCAGAAUUCAGUGAAUCAUCGAAUCUUUGAACGCACCUUGCGCUCCUCGGUAUUCCGAGGAGCAUGCCUGUUUGAGUGUCAUGAAAUUAUCAACCCCUCCUCCUUCAUCGGCGGUGGGGCUUGGACUUGGAGGCUUUGCGGGCUUUUAACGAGUCGGCUCCUCUCAAAUGCAUUAGCUCGAACCCCUGCGGAUCGGCCUUCGGUGUGAUAUAAUGUCUACGUCGUGGUCGUGAGCGUCGGAUCGGCUUCUAAUGGUCCCCUUUCGGAGGCGGAAUUUGAACUUGUGACCUCAAAUCAGGUAGGACUACCCGCUGAACUUAAGCAUAUCAUAAAGCG
rnacentral:rRNA from 1 species